UACGAGGAUGGGCAAGCGUUAAUCGGAAUUACUGGGCGUAAAGCGUGCGUAGGCGGUUCGUUAAGUCUGUUGUGAAAGCCCCGGGCUCAACCUGGGAAUGGCAAUGGAUACUGGCGAGCUAGAGUGUGUCAGAGGAUGGUGGAAUUCCCGGUGUAGCGGUGAAAUGCGUAGAGAUCGGGAGGAACAUCAGUGGCGAAGGCGGCCAUCUGGG
rnacentral:rRNA from 1 species